rnacentral:rRNA from 1 species
AUUGAACGCUGGCGGCAGGCCUAACACAUGCAAGUCGAACGAGUGGCGGACGGGUGAGUAAUGUCUGGGAAACUGCCCGAUGGAGGGGGAUAACUACUGGAAACGGUAGCUAAUACCGCAUACCAUCGGAUGUGCCCAGAUGGGAUUAGCUUGUAGGUGAGGUAACGGCUCACCGAGGCGACGAUCCCUAGCUGGUCUGAGAGGAUGACCAGCCACACUGGAACGGAGCCACGGUCCAGACUCCUCCGAGAGGCAGCAGUGGGGAAUAUGGCACAAUGGGCGCAAGUCUGAUGCAGCCACUCCGCGUGUAUGUAGAAUGCUUUCGGGUUGUAAAGUACUUUCAGCGGGGAGGCGUUACCCGCAGAAGAAGCACCGGCUAACUCCGUGCCAGCAGCCGCGGUAAUAC